UAUAUUAAUAUUAAUAAAAGCAUAUAUGUGAAUUAUUAGUGUAUUAGGUAUUAAAUAGAAGUGAAAAAUAAUUAUGUUGCAGUUCAAUAUAAAAAAGUAACUUAAGACAGUGAUAUUAGCUAUGCAAAAAAAGUACAAAUAGCUAUAUGGAAUCUCAGCUCAGUCCUCUGUCCUUAUGCAGCAUGAUAGACUUUAAUUACAGGGUCAUGCACCAUUUUUUCCAGAGGACUUGAUGCAUAGGAUAUAUAUUAAUUCAAGAGAGCAUUGUCUGUUUUCAGUGUAUUUCACAUAUCUGGGCAGCCCAUCCUCCUUUAUUUUCUGUGCAACAUCAAAAAGUAGUACCAAACAAGGGACUUGUUCAUCUCCUCCUGCGUUCUUGAGGAGUGGUGUCAGACAAGCAUCUGAAUGUUCUGCAAAUGUAUUUUUUUUAACAAUACAAAUACAAGAGUCAAGAUUAUCAGCAGCCAGCUUACCUUAGAGUAUCCAGCUAGAAAUGCCAGGGGACAUCUAGCAUGUCACACUGUGGGUAGUGCUCCUGUUGUGUGCAUCUGUAGUGACUAUGAAUAGUCAACACUCCUGCCAAAGAAUGCCAAGUGUUUCAAUGUGGAGCCCAGCAAGCACACAUCAUGCAGCUAUGAACUGCCAAAACUAACACAGGGAUUGAAUAGGGGCUGUAGGGCAGAAGCUGCCAUGGUGUCUAACUGUGUCACCUCUCAGCUGCCCUCAUUACAAAACCAUCUGUUCUUCCUUCUCACUCUUCUGUCUUCUGUUUCAUUCACAUCUCCCAAGCUCUCCGUGAUGGGUGGUGGGGUCCUACAGACAACAGCUCUCCUCACCUCACAGCCCUGACUGGCUCCAAAGGCAGUCCUCCAAAGGUCCUCUUCUCCAGCUGAUAAGGAGGCAUGAGUCACUGGGGAAAAAUUAUCUAGGAUCACAGUAUAUGUCAUCCCUUUUCCAUUAUCCAACAUAGGUAGGGGAUUUAAUGAAAAAAAAUGUAAUUAAGAGACCUCCAAACCAUGUGUCCUAACUUUGAAAUACUGACUUUGACACUCAGCUUUCUUAUAACUAAGUUCACUUUGAAGUAGCCUUUUCAAAAACAAAACAAACCCCCCAGUAAUUCCGUAGCUUGCCCUAUGUUCCUUUCACACAAAAAUCUUCUUUGGAGCAUAUAUAUUUGGAUCCUGAGCAAAUGUCCAGAGACAUAGCAAAAGCUGAACUGGGCACUGCCUCUGUCGAGCCUCAGGACUCUGAAAUGCUCUGGUUCCUCUGUGAUUUACAGCAGUGAAGCAAAAAAAAGAAUUGUUUUAAGGUGGACUAGAGGAAAAACAUGACUCUACUCCUACCUAUGUUUUCAAACCUUUGGCAGUCCUUUUCUUCCUUGCAAGGGACAAAACUAAACUAACGGGAGAUCAUGGUGCAAAUGUAGAGAGGGUGUAAGGACCAGUGAAGCACGAGAAACUGGCGCAGGGGUAGUAACUGAGGCCAUAAAGAAAAAGGGUCAUAGCAAUGACUGCUGCCAAGAACAUUGUCUCAGACAGCUGACAGCAGGACUGCGUUGGCUGAGGUUUACAGAGCAGUGCUGUGUCUGAAAAGGUGGGGCCUGAAAGUUGGAUCGAUGAGUUUAUUUUCUUCAGCAACUGCCCAAAUAUAAAAGAUGUCAAUUUCUUAACCCCUCUGAAGAGCAAGGCAGCCACACGUAAAGAGGUGUAAGUGGUAAUUGUUCUGAGAUCAUGUAAUGAAUUAAACCAAGGUGAAUUUGUUUAACUGAAACAUAGUCUGCAAGAAAUUUUUUAAACAGGGAAUGGAGUAAGUGAGUUAUGGGUGUCCCAGAAAUGCUGGCCAGAUGUUCAGAAAAAGUUGUAAAGGCUGGAUUGUGAAGGUUUCUCAAGCAAGAAAAAUAUUUUCCCUAAGGAAAUUAAUUGUGCCCUGCGCCAUCUCAUCUGCUGAUCCUUUAUGUUCGUGGGUAUGAUCACUCCACAAAAUUUUCUGCCGUCAUGUACAAUGCUUAUUGCAAAAAGUUCUUUCAUAGAGGAGAGUGUUCCAGUUAUUAUUUGUCUUUUGUGUGUUUUCAGCUUGUGAAUCCCUUGGAAGAAAACUUGCCACACUGUCUGGACUCAAAGAACCCAGAGAGAUACAAAUACGCAGUAGAGGAAUGCUACAGGUCACCGAACCAGAUAACAAAGAUCUGUAUCUUGCUUAGGAUAAUGGAGAGGAUGUGCUCCCUUAGGCUUUAUUUAGCUCUGCUGUCACGCUUUAAACCACAAAAGCUGAUUUCAGCCCUGAACAAUCUACUGUUGCACCAAAUUUGUCUCUGUAAUCCUUUUUUUCCACUGUUUUACUUCAAGCUAUUUCAAAGCUUUAGUAAAGCUGAGUGUGAUUAUUAGUUUAUACGUCCUAUUUACAUGCAGAGGUCCUCAGUACUAUAUGUUACGAAGUUACUGCAUUUAAAUUGGGUUUUGACUGUAAAUAAUACUUGAAAGUGAACAAACAAGAAGCCAAGACAAACUUAGGAGUUUUAUUCCCCAGAUUGACAAGGUGGAGGUGCAUGGCCAGAUUGUUCACUUCAGUAUCACUUCUGGUAGAAGAAUCAGAAAACUUUGCAGACAAAUAUUGACCCCAGUUUUAGGGCCAAAGUCAGGGUAUUAUGUUAGAAGUACCUCCUGAGGAAAAAAACUCAAGAAAUAGAGGAGCACCUUGGAAAACUUUGUCUAAUCAUAUAGGACUGUUGGGAAUGUGAUAUAAAACCCCUCCCAAAAAAAAAAUAAUUCUAAAAUGUUUUUCUGUCAUCAGCUCACUGUAAGUCUCUAAAGUGUGUUACUCUGUUGCAACACUCCUGAUUUUAUUAGUGGUCUUGGCUCUUGAGUAAUCCAGCUGAAUAAUGUAUCAUAGCUGAAAUGAAUUACUAACUCCUGCCAGGAAGAAAAUAACCUGCCCUGCUUUGUUAUGCUGAGACUGGUUAUUGAGGGCCAUGACAAUGGUUAUUGUACCAGAUGUUUAGCUGAUCCAAGAUACACCCCAGUGUUUCUUGAGGAACCACUGCAUAGAUGAUCAACCAGGUGAAAUUUUGUAUCUAAGGAUUGAUGAAAAUUGUGGUGAAGUCGAGAUUUUAUAACAAAAAAGUCUACAGGAAAGAUGGGAUUUUUUUUUAAAAAAAGUGGGAAUAGGAGAUUUUGAACUCUGUCGUUUUAAGCUCACUUCACAUUGCUGCAGACUGCUGAUCAAUGCAGGGCCCCCAAACUUUGUUGAAGCUCUGAGUCUGUAUUUCAAAUCCUAGUUUGAUAGUUUUACAUAUAAUUUUAAUUUUAGACCUCAAUAGGUGUGAGCUUUUGCAAUUUAGGUGUGAAACAACUUUCCAGAUGGCCUGAAAUGCCAGCUUGUGCCAGUUUGCUCUUUAAAGUGAAUGUCUACUUUGAAAAUGGGGAUUGUAAAAGUGGUAGUUUGGGUUUACAAAUUUUAGGUGAGUUAUAACUGAAUUUUAAAAGGGGACCUCAGCCUCUCAGCAAAUUCUUAGAUCUUCCACUUCAGCUUGAUUCUCGUUCAUCAAAUGCUAUUAAUCGCUCUUGGUAAAUGUUUUAAAUUUGAAACUUCAAUACACAAACCUAUUUAAUCACAUUUUAUCAGACUUGCAUAGGGAAGGGAAUAACUUGAGAGUAAACGGGUAAACAGAGGACCCUGCUUGAAACAAGAGCCAGAGGUAAGCACAGCUCACUCAUCCUGCUCUAACACUGACUUCUUGCAGCUUUUUGCUGCUAAAGAAAAACUGGUCCAUUUCUAAAACAUAACAACAGGUUUGUGGAUAGUGUUUCCACAUCGUUGCUUUUCAAGAUUUAUUUUAACUAUGUUUUUUGGCUUUUGGUAUUGCAAAUGUCUUAUUAAUACUUCACCACGUAAGCUACAGCUAUAAAUCAGCCAUAUGUGAUGGAGCCUCUAUGCUCAAGGUUAACUAGAAGCACUGGGACAACUAUCAUUUUUAAGUGCUCCUAAGAGAAGACACCAAAAUUAGUUACCCUUUAUCUAAUUAAUGUUUUACUAUUUUGAUUUCAGGAACAUGGAGAUGUGGAAGGAGCUCUGAGAGAAAUGCCACGUACUCUUUGAGUGAAAAAGCCAACCUGGGGUACAGAGUGUUGAAGACAGUUAAGGACACAGGAAGAUUGGAAGUGAUACAACCUCCAAGCAAAACUGGGAGCUCAGCCUAUUUCUGCAUAACAAGUGCUAAUUGGAGAGUUGAAUUCUUCACCUUUCAAGUCCUGCUGUAUAAGCCAGUGGUAAGCAUCAAUAAAUGCUCCAGAUAAGAUGGCACACUCCCCAGGCCUGUCUGCACUGCUGGAUGAAAUACUGAAACUUAAAUUAUUUCCAUUACACAGAACUGUUUUCUUAUGAUAAUUCUGCUGCAUAUUAAGUCCUGGGAUUUGAUAAAGUAAUGCUGUGGUCAAACCAGUGGAAUUUAUUCCCAUUAGUAUUUCUCUCAUCUGUUUUCUUUCUUUGGGUGGUGUUGUGCUUGGGUUUUGUUUUGUUUAGUUUUUAAAUUUGUCUUCUCUUCAGAAUCCUACGCCCACUGGAAAGACAGCUUACAGCUAUGCUGUUCCUUGUUCCCAUUCUGAAUCACAUCUUUGUAACAUCUUAUUAACACAUCUUAUUAACACGUGGUUUAGAGGCUGGUGCCACCAACAGAAUUUUGGGUUAUUUGAUCACAGGGAGGUUUACAUGGCACCGGGUCUACUGGCAACAGAUGGGAUUCAGCUCUCUCAAAGGGGAAAAAGGAUCCUCGUGCAUGAAUUGGCAGGGCUCAUAUAAAGGGCUUUAACUAGACUCAAAGGGGAAGGGGAUAGGGAUGGGCUGACUGGAGAGGAGCCUGGCAGGCUGGUGCUUGCAGGGCACUGUGCUAGUAAGUCCCUUCUGUCUCAGUGGAGGUGGGGGAGUUGGAUCCAUGCAGCAGCAAAAAUGCAAGGGUCAUUGACAGGUUAGUAAUUGUGGAAGCAGGUGAGAAUGGGCAGCUAAGUAUUAGGGCUCCUCCACCUCAGAAGGUGGCAGGAUCAUUAUCCCAGCUGAAGUGUGUCUACAUUGAUGCAUGCAGUGUGGGCAAGAAAUGGGAGGAGCUGCAAGCCGUUGUACAGCAAGAAGACUGUGAUAUAGUUGUCAACACAGAACUGUGGUGGGAAGACUCUCACAACUGGAGUGCUGCAGUUGAUGGCUACCAGCUUUUCAGAAGGGAUAGGCAAGGAAGGAGAGGUGGUUGAGUGGCCCUCUAUGUUAGGGAGAGAUUUGAAUGCCUAGAACUUAACAGUGUAAAUGACAGUGUUGAGUGUUUAUGGGUAAGAAUCAAGGGGAAGGCCAAUAAGGCAGAUAUCAUGGUGGAAGUUAGUUACAGAGGUGCCAGGCAGGAUGAAGAGGCUGAUUAAAUAUUCUAUAAGCAGUUGGCAGAAGUCUCUCGUGGGGGACUUCAACUUCCCAGAUGUCUGCUGGAAAUAAAACUCAGCAGAGAGGGAACAGUCCCAUAGGCUCUGGGAGUGUGUGGAAGACAACUUCCUGAUGCAGCUGGUGAGGGAGCCAGCCGGAGAGUGCCCUGCUGGACCUGCUGCUUGUUAACAGAGAGGGUCUUGUGGGGAAUGUAAAAGUUGGAAGUUGUCUUGGGCAGAGUGAUGAGUUCUCAAUUCUUGGAGAAGUAAGGGCAGAGCCAGCAGAACUGCCACCUUGAACUUCCAGAAGGCAGGCAUUAACUCGUUCAGUAGCCUGAUUGCCAGAAUCUCUUGGGAAUCUGUUCUGAAGGGUAGAGGGAUCUAGGAAGGCUGAACACUCUACAAGAAGGAAGUCUUGAAGGUACAGGAGCAGGCCAUCCCCAUGUGCUGUGAGGUAAGCCGGUGGCAGAGAAGACCAGCCUGGUUGAGCAGGGAGCUCUGGCUGGUGCUCAGGGAGAAAAAGAAUCCAUGGCCUUUGAAGGAAGGGGCAGGCCACUCAUGAGGACUACAGAAGUGCUGUGAGGCUGUGCAAGGAGGGAAUUAAACAAUCCAGAGUCUGGCUAGAAAUUAAUCUUGGCUCCAUCAUAAAGGACAACAAGAAAAGCUUCCGUAAAUAUAUAAACAACAAAAGAAAGACCAGAGUGACCCUCCAUCCCCUAUUAGAUGCAGGAGGAAACAAAUUGAUGAAGAAUGAGAAGGCUGAGGUGUCUAAUGGCUUGUAGUCAGCCAUUUCUGUCACGGUAAGAUACACUGGAGGCUCCAUUUCCACUCUCUUCAGCUUUUUGCAGAUUGAAGCCCUUUGUUCCUUCUUGUUUGUACCUGACAUCUAUGUUGGUGAGUUGGGAGUAAAAGUGAGAUCUGGAGGGAAUCUUUUGGUGAAGGGUGCCUGUGGUGAACCUGCUCCAUCAGCUCAGCUGGGUUCCACUUGUUGCAGAAUGAAAUGGAGUUGUUUGCUUUACCUACUUUUGGAAAGCACUGAAAGGAGGUUUUUCCUCUUUCUGUGGCAUCACUUUCUUAUAUUUUGUCAUCCAUAAGCAAUCAUGACUAUAUGCAAACUACUGCUGAUAAUUAAAGAAUAAGCCCAUGGGGCCACAGCUUAACUGCUUCCCUUUUUCAUCCCAGGACUGUUGCUGAUGUCUCUGAUACCUGGUCUGGUGUGGCAGCAGUUCUAUACGUGCCUCCAAAAGAGGCAGCUGAGCUAUGAUCAGUCCACCUCAUUCCUGUGUUCCAGCAGCUUUAAUUGAGGAUCAAGUCCUGUUUUGCCAGGUGCUGCAUGGAUAUGAAAUAAAAUAUGGUCUUCACCAGCAAGAAUCUACUUUUAGUUCGCCAGAGAUGAUAGCAGGCUGUGUGCUGUGAGUGAACGGGCAGCACUGGCACCUCCCUGUGAGCUGGUGAGGACAAGGCAGGUGUGAAACAGAGGCAAGUCUUCCAUGCCACAUGGCUUCCCCAAGCUACAAAGUUCAAAACCUCUGUGACCCAUCUGAUUUUGGACUUAUGUGGGGAAGAAAAGAACAGUUUCCCACAGGUAGUCUUCUGCAGCUUAGGGGAUAUCAGGUAAUUUCUGGCACUUUGUACCCCUGCUCACAGACAGGUAUUUUCUAGUUGUUGACAAAAAGAAAGAAAAAUAAAUUCUGGAUCCCUGUGUAUGUCCUUGUUAAGCAUUUAAAUGUCUCUUCUAGAAGAGAACUAGCUGCUCUUCAAUCAAACCUGCAAAGAGGGGUUCUACCAUGACAUAAUAAGAAGUGUGCGCUAAGUGCUUUGACAAAACCCAUGUGUGUUCUGAAAUGGAAUUUUAUUUACUGUGAUGUUAUGAAAGUGCAAAAUAAAUAGAGAAACUCAGAAGGGCUGGUAGGAUGUGGGUGGGUGAAUAAAUCAGCUUUGAUGCUAAUGUCAGUCGAUGAUAAUUUCUACCCUUUGAAGAAAGUGUGAUAAACACAGCUGCCAGAAGUGUGAUCUGAACUUGCUCUAAUUAAAUUAAAUUUUCACUGGAAUGAAAGCAGCUCGGCACCUUUGCUUUGUUUCCUUUCCUUUCUAGCUGGACUAGUUCAGAGAAUAAUGACUUUCCAGUUCUUUCAUGACCAGGUUGGGAGGGUAAGGUUUGUUAAAUAUAUAUAAUGGUCUGAGUAUGCACAGACCUAUUGUAUUCAAUUCUGUAUGCAUAUUCCUUUUGUUGUAUUUGCUACUCAGGAUUUGGAUCUUAAUUUAGAAUCUGAGAUCUUUGAAGGGGAAUUAAUCUGUACUGGCCACUAAACUCUUUAUAGAAAUAUGGGGAGAUUUUAGUCCUCCAUGUUUGUCUCUUAAGUGAAUGUACACAUUAAUAGUAAAAGAUUGACAAGUAUCUUUCAAUGGUUAUGAACAAUUCAACUGCUGAUCGUGGACUGGGGAUGAGAAUAAGAAGAGAGACAUCAAGGGAGAAAAGAGAAGAAUCUGAAGACAGACUAUCUCUGGGUAGUCCAUCCUUUUUUGUCUCCACUUUGUUACAAAAACCACCUUGCUCCUUUGUGGAGAAGGAUUGAAAGAUCUGUCACUCCAAGCUUUUGCAAUGUAACUUUUCAAGUAAAUUUUUGAUUGCUCUUUGA